CUGCAGGCUCUCAUACUCCAGCAUUCCCGGAACUGCGGAGAGACAGGGAGGCUGUGCUGACAUGCAAGGAGACACACGCGGAACGUUCCCGACGCUCUUCGACUAAAUGGAAAAGCUCACAGAAGGCCCAUGGAAGCGCAUAGGAAAAUGAAACAAAACUGCAGAGCAUCCAAGGAAACAAACUGCUCUGAAGAGGAAAAGUCCUGUGAGGACACAGGGAUGGAGAAAGUGGCUGUCAGCAAGCCAGGAAGAGAGCUCUCACCAGGAAGUGACCAUGCUGGCACCCUGAUCUCAGAUGUUUAGCCUCCAGAACUGUGAGGAAAUAAAUCUCUUGUUUAAGCCACCCAGCCUGCGGUAUUUUGUUAUAGUAGCCUGAGUGAACUAAUGGAAUAUGUUUAACAUGUUCAAAGAGACUAAAUAAAAAGAAAAAAUUAAGAAUAGGACAUUAUGGGGCUGGGUGUGGUGGCUCACGCCUGUAAUCCAGCACUUUGGGAGGCUGAGACAGGCGGAUCACUUGAAGUCAGGAGUUCAAGACCAGCCUGGCCAACAUGGUGAAACCCCAUCUCUAUUAAAAAUCCAAAAAUUAGCCAGGCACGGUGGCGCAUGCCUGUAGCCACAGCUACUCAAGAGGCUGAGGCAGGAGAACUGCUUGAACCCAGGAGGCGAAGGUUGCAGUGAGCUAAGAUCGUGCCACUGUACUCCAGCCUGGGUGACAGAGUAAGACCCCAUCUCAAAAAAGAAAAAGAAAAAAAAAAAGAAUAGGACAUUGUGUAAGAGACAGAGGUGAAAAGGAACAAGAGAAAUUUUAGA